CAGUCGCCACGGUAAUACGAAGGGGGCUAGCGUUGCUCGGAAUCACUGGGCGUAAAGGGUGCGUAGGCGGGUCUUUAAGUCAGGGGUGAAAUCCUGGAGCUCAACUCCAGAACUGCCUUUGAUACUGAAGAUCUUGAGUUCGGGAGAGGUGAGUGGAACUGCGAGUGUAGAGGUGAAAUUCGUAGAUAUUCGCAAGAACACCAGUGGCGAUGGCGGCUCACUGGCCCGAUACUGACGCUGAGGCACGAAAGCGUGGGGAGCAAACAGGAUUAGAUACCCCGGUAGUCCCUGUCUCUUAUAC
rnacentral:rRNA from 1 species